rnacentral:rRNA from 1 species
UACGGGGGGAGCAAGCGUUGUUCGGAUUUACUGGGCGUAAAGGGCGCGUAGGCGGCCACUGCAAGUCAGUUGUGAAAUCUCCGGGCUUAACCCGGAAAGGUCAACUGAUACUGCAGGCUAGAGUGCAGAAGGGGCAACUGGAAUUCUCGGUGUAGCGGUGAAAUGCGUAGAUAUCGAGAGGAACACCUGCGGCGAAGGCGGGUUGCUGGGCUGACACUGACGCUGAGGCGCGAAAGCCAGGGGAGCAAACAGG